rnacentral:rRNA from 1 species
UACGGAGGGUGCAAGCGUUGUUCGGAUUUACUGGGCGUAAAGCGCGCGCAGGUGGGUGUGCAAGUCGGAAGUGAAAUCUUGAGGCUCAACCUCGAGGCUGCUCCCGAAACUGCACGCCUAGGGACUGGUAGAGGCUGGUAGAAUUCCCGGUGUAGCGGUGGAAUGCGUAGAGAUCGGGAAGAAUACCCGUGGCGAAGGCGGCCAGCUGGGCCAGGUCCGACACUGAGGCGCGAAAGCGUGGGGAGCGAACAGG